rnacentral:rRNA from 1 species
UACAGAGGGGGCAAGCGUUGUUCGGAAUUACUGGGCGUAAAGCGUGCGCAGGCGGUUGUGCAAGACAGAUGUGAAAUCCCCGGGCUCAACCUGGGAACUGCAUUUGUGACUGCACGGCUGGAGUGCGGCAGAGGGGGAUGGAAUUCCGCGUGUAGCAGUGAAAUGCGUAGAUAUGCGGAGGAACACCGAUGGCGAAGGCAAUCCCCUGGGCCUGCACUGACGCUCAUGCACGAAAGCGUGGGGAGCAAACAGG